UACGUAGGGGGCAAGCGUUGUCCGGAUUCAUUGGGCGUAAAGAGCGUGUAGGCGGCCAGGUAGGUCGGUUGUGAAAACUGGAGGCUCAACCUUCAGAGGUCGACCGAAACCAUCUGGCUAGAGUCCGGGAGAGGAGAGUGGAAUUCCUGGUGUAGCGGUGAAAUGCGCAGAUAUCAGGAAGAACACCCGUGGUGUAGACGGCUUUCUGGACCGUAACUGACGCUGAGACACGAAAGCGUGGGUAGCAAACAGG
rnacentral:rRNA from 1 species